rfam:Schistosoma mansoni strain Puerto Rico chromosome W, complete genome
AUCCAGCCGACGAGUCCCAAAUAGGACAAAACGCGCGUGUCGGAC